AACACCACGUGACACCACUUGGGAGUAAAAGCCAGGAUUUCUAGGUCUUCCUGCCUACUGGUGAGCCUGUGAAGUCUCAAGAAAAGUGUCUUGCUCUAGGGAAAGGAAAGUAGAGCCUGGAACUACCAGAUUGGAAGGAAAAACCCCAUUUUUCCAAUUACUUUCAAUAGGAGCUCAGUUCCCAGCUCCUCCAUGCCCUGCAGGCAGCACCCAGCCCAUCCCAGCCUUGGCACACACCGAAACCCUCCGCAGACCAACCCAGGACACUGAACACCGAUGAACCCACAACACCCAGCUGCCCUCCCACGGCUCAGGGAGAGCCAGGCUCUGGCUUAAACACUGGUGCAGGAAGGAACUUUGCCUGUCUAAGGCUGAGCCCUGGGUUGGGUUGUGUCCAGCAGCCCCAGCCGUAGCGCAGCCCACGGGUACGGGGCGACCGGGGGCCCUGCCCCGCAGCUUUCCCAUCGCUAUAAAAACAUUAAUAAAAGAUCAGUUUGCAGACACAGCUUGCUGUAGAUGACAGCAUUAGAGGCGCAUCUGUUUCUCCCAAGCACCAGUCUCAUGCUGGGUUUAUCUGGUCCAUUUGUGGCAGGGAAAAGUUGCUUUCGGCGUUCGGAGAUGUCUCGUGUC